CAGUAGCCGCGGUAAUACGUAGGUCCCGAGCGUUGUCCGGAUUUAUUGGGCGUAAAGCGAGCGCAGGCGGUUAGAUAAGUCUGAAGUUAAAGGCUGUGGCUUAACCAUAGUAUGCUUUGGAAACUGUUUAACUUGAGUGCAGAAGGGGAGAGUGGAAUUCCAUGUGUAGCGGUGAAAUGCGUAGAUAUAUGGAGGAACACCGGUGGCGAAAGCGGCUCUCUGGUCUGUAACUGACGCUGAGGCUCGAAAGCGUGGGGAGCAAACAGGAUUAGAUACCCGCGUAGUCCCUGUCUCUUAUACA
rnacentral:rRNA from 1 species